UCCAGACUCCUACGGGAGGCAGCAGUGGGGGAUAUUGCACAAUGGGGGGAACCCUGAUGCAGCGACGCCGCGUGGGUGAAGGAGCGUUUCGGCGCGUAAAGCCCUCUCGGCAGGGAAGAAGGAGGACGGUACCUGACUAAGAAGCCCCGGCUAACUACGUGCCAGCAGCCGCGGUAAUACGUAGGGGGCAAGCGUUAUCCGGAUUUACUGGGUGUAAAGGGGGCGCAGACGGCAGCGCAAGCCAGGAGUGAAAGCCCGGGGCCCAACCCCGGGACUGCUCUUGGAACUGCGCGGCUGGAGUGCAGGAGGGGCAGGCGGAAUUCCUGGUGUAGCGGUGAAAUGCGUAGAUAUCAGGAGGAACACCGGUGGCGAAGGCGGCCUGCUGGACUGCGACUGACGUUGAGGCCCGAAAGCGUGGGGAGCAAACAGGAUUAGAUACCCCGGUAU
rnacentral:rRNA from 1 species